rnacentral:rRNA from 14 species
GCGCUUUAAGAGCAUUUGGUGGAUGCCUUGGCACCAAGAGGCGAUGAAGGACGUGGCACACUGCGAAAAGUCAUGGGGAGCUGUGAGCAAGCUUUGAUCCGUGAAUGUCCGAAUGGGGAAACCCGGCCCUUUAGGGUCAUCCUUAACUGAAUACAUAGGUUAAGGAAGCGAACCCGGCGAACUGAAACAUCUCAUUAGCCGGAGGAAAGGAAAUCAACCGAUACUCCGUUAGUAGUGGCGAGCGAACGCGGACCAGGCCAGUGGCCGUUGCGUAAGAACCGGAACCGUCUGGAAAGUCGGGCCAUAGCGGGUGAUAGCCCCGUACGGGUAGAAAGCAUUUUUGUCCUCGAGUAAGGCGGGGCACGUGAAACCCUGUCUGAACGUGGGGGGACCAUCCUCCAAGCCUAAGUACUCCUUAUCGACCGAUAGUGAAC